CUUACAGAGUUUAUUGGCAUUCUGUCCACCUCCCAUCAUCAAUAGACAACUCUCUCUCUCUUUCUCUCUCUCUCUCGGAGGUGGGCAUACUGCCAACUGAGCUCUGUUGG
rnacentral:pre_miRNA from 1 species